rnacentral:rRNA from 1 species
UCCCGAACAGGACCGUGAAACGACUUCGCGCCGAUGAUAGUGCGGAUUCCCGUGUGAAAGUAGGUCAUCGUCAGGC